AUUGAACGCUGGCGGCAGGCCUAACACAUGCAAGUCGAGCGGCAGCGGAAAGUAGCUUGCUACUUUGCCGGCGAGCGGCGGACGGGUGAGUAAUGUCUGGGAAACUGCCUGAUGGAGGGGGAUAACUACUGGAAACGGUAGCUAAUACCGCAUAACGUCGCAAGACCAAAGAGGGGGACCUUCGGGCCUCUUGCCAUCAGAUGUGCCCAGAUGGGAUUAGCUAGUAGGUGGGGUAAUGGCUCACCUGGCGACGAUCCCUAGCUGGUCUGCGAGGAUGACCAGCCACACUGGAAAUGAGACACGGUCCAGACUCCUACGGGAGGCAGCAGUGGGGAAUAGUGCACAAUGGGCGCAAGCCUGAUGCAGCCAUGCCGCGUGUAUGAAGAAGGCCUUCGGGUUGUAAAGUACUUUCAGCGGGGAGGAAGGUGUUGAGGUUAAUAACCUCAGCAAUUGACGUUACCCGCAGAAGAAGCACCGGCUAACUCCGUGCCAGCAGCCGCCGUAAGAC
rnacentral:rRNA from 1 species